CUCCUCUCCCAGCUGAGCUUGCAGCUGCUGCUGCGUUAAAUCACUGUUGUUUCCACCAAUGAGUUGUUCCCCUAAAAUCCGCCAGCGUGGCUGCGGAGCGUAGAGAUCCAAUGGAAGACAAUUCUACUCACGGUUUAAAGUGGCUUCCACCAGAUACAUCAGCUAUGGAUGGUGUUGGGACUGGCAGUUUAUAUGCCCUGUGGGAUGCUGAGGACGUCGGCAUCAGGAGAUCAGCUGGUGAUUCACUCUAUUUCUCAGAUCACUGGAUGCAAAAAUGCACCUUGCUCAUGGCUUGUCCUCCAUAAAUGAAGCUGUUCUUCUGCUGUCUUCUAUUGCUGCUGUUGGGCCUUGUUACACUAAUCAUAGAAUCCUUAAGGCUGGAAAACACCUCUAAGAUUAUCAAGUCCAAACGUUGACCCACUCCCACCGUGCCCACUGACCACAUCCCUCAGAGCCAUAUCUGCAUGGUUCUUAAACACCUCCAGGGACCGAUAUCCAACCUGGACUUCCCCAGUGCAACUUGAGGCCAUUCCCUCUGAUCACAGGCCGGGUUACCACUCUAUGAGACAAGUCACUUGAGGCAGUGGCAGCCUGUUCAGAAUGGUAGAGCUGUGCAGCACUGGAACCCCUCCUGAUGCCAUCAGGUGUCCCAAACAGAAAUCCCAGAAGGGUGUGAAGCUUGGAUGGCCGCAGCCUGCUGGAUUUGCACUGACUUACGUUCUCAACAGACUUCAAGUUCUGAAGCUUUAGGAAACAUCAACAACAUCAACACAGUUUUAUGACAAGACCAAUACAUACCUAUGAACCAGCAGCGAUGUGAAGAUGCAUUUUAUGGUAUGGUGCACCUUUUUAUCCCUGGAUUUGUGUAGGGAGGUGUUGCAGCAUCACAGCAUGGUUGGCAGAACCUCUGGGUCCAUCUGCUCCAACCCUGCUCCAGUAGGACCACCUGAAGCAGGGUGUCCACAUCCAUGUUCUCCUUAAUCAAGUGGAGUUUCCCUCUGAAUGACAUCUUUUGCCUUUACAUUUUGGAUAAAUCCCUUAAAAACGGUGAUUAAAUAAUCUAGCUUUCUGAAAAGAGUUUGCCAAGGGCAUUCUUACAUCAUCUUUCACAUGGGACAUUUUCUUGUUUGUUUUAGUUUAAGUUAUAUCUAUUAUCAUUUUCAGAGACUGAAUUCGUUGUAGGAACCAAAGCAGGCAAUUGUGUUGUAAUGAAAUAUCUUAUGCUCCGGAGAAUUUACGUUCACUCUGAGGUAUUCUUCUCAUCUAGGAAGUAUUGAUUUGAGGGGAGAACAUUGAAUGGAAUUGCCGAGUAGUUCUGAUCCGUUCAACCAGCAUGAAUCCAGAGCGCGUCCUUAGAAGUCAAUGAAAUCUCAUUGACUCAGAAGUGGUGCAGAUAAAUGAGUUCAUGAAGGGGAACUCGGUGGGGAAAGCUAAAUAACAUUGGUCUGAUCAAAAUGGGAAGCUAACAAAAGAGAUGGACCUGGAGACUUUGGUUUUCUUGGGUGGAGCAUCGGGGUGUUUGGGCAUAUGUUUGCUUG
ensembl:lncRNA